rnacentral:rRNA from 1 species
UAGGGAAUCUUCGGCAAUGGACGAAAGUCUGACCGAGCAACGCCGCGUGAGUGAAGAAGGUUUUCGGAUCGUAAAACUCUGUUGUUAGAGAAGAACAAGGACGUUAGUAACUGAACGUCCCCUGACGGUAUCUAACCAGAAAGCCACGGCUAACUACGUGCCAGCAGCCGCGGUAAUACGUAGGUGGCAAGCUUUGUCCGGAUUUAUUGGGCGUAAAGCGAGCGCAGGCGGUUUCUUACGUCUGAUGUGAAAGCCCCCGGCUCAACCGGGGAGGGUCAUUGGAAACUGGGAGACUUGAGUGCAGAAGAGGAGAGUGGAAUUCCAUGUGUAGCGGUGAAAUGCGUAGAUAUAUGGAGGAACACCAGUGGCGAAGGCGGCUCUCUGGUCUGUAACUGACGCUGAGGCUCGAAAGCGUGGGGAGCAAACAGG